rnacentral:lncRNA from 1 species
GGAAGGUCUUGCCUAGAUGUGGAUGCCUCCUGGCUGAUCAGGGUGGUGGUUGCUGAAGGUUAGAGUGGCGGUGGCAGUUUUUUAAAAAAGACAGCAAUGAAGUUUGCCACAUCAAUCCACUCUUCCUUUUGCAAAAGAUUUCUCUGUAGCAUGUGAUACUGUUGGAUAGCAUUUUACCCACACAGAACUUCUUUCAACAUUGGAGACAAUCCUCUCAAACCCUGCCACUGCUUUAUCAACUGCGUUUAUGGAAUAUUCUAAAUCUUUUGUUGUCAUUUCAGCAAUCUCCACAGCAUCUUCACCACGAGUGGAUUCCAUCUCAAGAAACCACUUUCUUUGCUCAUCCAUAAGCAAAGAUGAUGGAUAGAUGUAUGUUGCAACUAGAUGGCUAGAUGAAUGAGCAACUCCUCAUCCAUUUAAGUUGGAUCCUAAGAUUGCAGUAGUUCAGUCACAUCUUCAGGCUCCGCUUCUAAUUCUACGUCUCUUACUAGCCCCACAACAUCUGCAGUUCCUUCCUCCCUGAUGUCUUGACCCCUCAAAGUCAUCCAUGAUGACUGGAAUCAUCGUCUUCCAAAUUCCUGUUUUGCUGACAUUUUUACCUCCUCCCACGAAUCGUGUUCAUAAUGGCAUCUAGAAUGGUGAAUCCUUUCCAGAAGGUUUUCAGUUUACUUUUCCAAGAUCCAUCAGAGGAAGCACUAUUUAUGGCAGCUAUAGCCUUACAAACCGUAUUUCCUAAAUCAUAAGACUUGAAAGUUGAAAUUACUCCUGAUCCUGUGGAACGGAUGUUGUCUUAGCACGCAUGAAAACAACAUGUAUCUCCUUGUACAACUCCGUCAGAGUUCGUGGGCAACCAGGUACACUAUCAAUGAGCAGUAAUAUUUUGAAAAUAACCUUUUUUUCUGAGCAAUCGAUCUCGAGGGGGAUUUAAAAUAUUCAG